AUGUCCAUCCGGUGCUGUUGCAUUGCAUCGAAUACAAUGAGAUCGAUUAAGAUGAUUUGAAGAGUUUAAAUUCGAGACUCGCAGAGUUGGAGAAGGCGUUAUCCUCCAGAGCAUCUACCACAUGCAUUUUUGGAGCAUCUCCAACCGAAUAUUCAAAUUCAAGGUGGAUUGGCAUGUAACACAAUUUGAAGACAUGUAAGAAGCUCCAACGCCGUGUCAUUCUUACGUGAAUUGGCAUCAAAAUUGACAACAGAUAAAGACGCUGCAUUUUUUUUUUCUUUUAUAAAUAGUAGCAAACACCCUUGAUGCCAAUCCGUGGUAACCCAAAACGAAACGACAUGAAACGUUUAAUCCUACAUGAAGUAAAACGGAAAGUAGGCUUUGGGUCGAGACUUAACGGGUCUUGUAUUUUAUCUGGUCAACCCUUUAAGUACCUGUUGAACGAUAAGUUGAUUCAAGUCUACACGCAGGUAACCCGUUGCAAGUUUCAAUCCAUUAAACUAAG
rnacentral:sRNA from 1 species